AUACGGAGGAUCCGAGCGUUAUCCGGAUUUAUUGGGCUUAAAGGGAGCGUAGGUGGGAUAUUAAGUCAGCUGUGAAAGUUUGGGGCUCAACCUUAAAAUUGCAGUUGAUACUGGUUUCCUUGAGUACGGUACAGGUGGGCGGAAUUCGUGGUGUAGCGGUGAAAUGCUUAGAUAUCACGAAGAACUCCGAUCGCGAAGGCAGCUCACCGGGCCGGAACUGACACUGAUGCUCGAAAGUGCGGGUAUCAAACAGGAUUAGAUACCCUGGUAGUCCGCACAGUAAACGAUGAAUACUCGCUGUUUGCGAUACACGGUAAGCGGCCAAGCGAAAGCGUUAAGUAUUCCACCUGGGGAGUACGCCGGCAACGGUGAAACUCAAAUGAAUUGACGGGG
rnacentral:rRNA from 1 species